rnacentral:rRNA from 1 species
AUACGGAGGGUGCAAGCGUUACUCCGAAUCACUGGGCGUAAAGCGCGCGCAGGCGGCCUGAUAAGUUGGAUGUGAAAGCCUACGGCUCAACCGUAGAACUGCAUCCAAAACUGUCAGGCUAGAGGGUGGGAGAGGAAGAUGGAAUUAGUUGUGUAGGGGUAAAAUCCGUAGAGAUAACUAGGAAUACCAAAAGCGAAGGCAAUCUUCUGGAACACUACUGACGCUGAGGCGCGAAGGCGUGGGGAGCAAACAGGAUUAGAUACCCUAGUAGUCC